UACGGGGUUGCGAGCGUUAUCCGGAUUUAUUGGGUUUAAAGGGUGCGUAGGCGGCCGAGUAAGUCAGCGGUGAAAUUUUGCAGCUUAACUGUAACAGUGCCGUUGAUACUGCAUGGCUAGGAUUUGGUUGCUGUGGGUGGAAUGUGUGGUGUAGCGGUGAAAUGCUUAGAUAUCACACAGAAUAUCAAUUGCGAAGGCAGCUCACAAAGCCAAGAUUGACGCUGAGGCACGAAAGUGUGGGGAUCAAACAGGA
rnacentral:rRNA from 1 species